rnacentral:rRNA from 1 species
GACGAACGCUGGCGGCGUGCUUAACACAUGCAAGUCGAACGGAAAGGCCCUGCUUUUGUGGGGUGCUCGAGUGGCGAACGGGUGAGUAACACGUGAGUAACCUGCCCUUGACUUUGGGAUAACUUCAGGAAACUGGGGCUAAUACCGGAUAGGAGCUCCUGCUGCAUGGUGGGGGUUGGAAAGUUUCGGCGGUUGGGGAUGGACUCGCGGCUUAUCAGCUUGUUGGUGGGGUAGUGGCUUACCAAGGCUUUGACGGGUAGCCGGCCUGAGAGGGUGACCGGCCACAGUGGGACUGAGAGACGGCCCAGACUCCUACGGGAGGCAGAAGUGGGGAAUAUUGCACAAUGGGCGGAAGCCUGAUGCAGCAACGCCGCGUGCGGGAUGACGGCCUUCGGGUUGUAAACCGCUUUCGCCUGUGACGAAGCGUGAGUGACGGUAAUGGGUAAAGAAGCACCGGCUAACUACGUG